UCCAGACUCCUACGGGAGGCAGCAGUGGGGGAUAUUGCACAAUGGGGGGAACCCUGAUGCAGCGACGCCGCGUGGGUGAAGGAGCGUUUCGGCGCGUAAAGCCCUAUCGGCAGGGAAGAAGGAGGACGGUACCUGACUAAGAAGCCCCGGCUAACUACGUGCCAGCAGCCGCGGUAAUACGUAGGGGGCAAGCGUUAUCCGGAUUUACUGGGUGUAAAGGGGGCGCAGACGGCAGCGCAAGCCAGGAGUGAAAGCCCGGGGCCCAACCCCGGGACUGCUCUUGGAACUGCGCGGCUGGAGUGCAGGAGGGGCAGGCGGAAUUCCUGGUGUAGCGGUGAAAUGCGUAGAUAUCAGGAGGAACACCGGUGGCGAAGGCGGCCUGCUGGACUGCGACUGACGUUGAGGCCCGAAAGCGUGGGGAGCAAACAGGAUUAGAUACCCGGGUACCC
rnacentral:rRNA from 1 species